CGGAGCUAGCAAGAAUCCCGAAAAGGUGGAAGUUGACAGUGGGAGGCAAGAAAUGCUUAGGAGGGAGUUCAGGGAGGAGUUUAGGGAGGGUAUCGGACAGUCAGAGGAGAGCCUAAAGUAGUACAAAGGCGGUAGCCACACUCAUCAUGGCGGCCAAAGGGCGACCGAGCGGAGGGGGGCGGAGCCACUCCUGGCGGUUGGGGCACGUUGCCGUCUCCGUCGUCGCAUUUAUUGGUUUGUUUGAGAAGGAAUCAGAAAGGCAAUGGGUGGAAGUGGACGUCGGUCAAAGUUAGUCCCGCCUCCAGACUCUCAACGCGCUUCUCAGCGCCGGGACUCCUUCAAGAUCGCCAGUGCCUUCCUUGCUCGGUUUGCCCUUUUCUCCGGGGUGACGUCACGGCGUAGCCGUCACACCCUCGAGACGUGCGAACGGCUCCGCAGGGUGUGGAGAAGGUGGAGGGUGCUGUUGGGUGAGGUAGCCUUGGGGUGUGGACUCCUGCCUGCUGGGCUGAAAAGGCCUUGAGCUACGGGACGCAAUGGAACUGGGAAGCUUACCGUUUGACGACGCUUGUUUCAAGGCGGAAGUGCUCGCUGCAGCCUCUGUCGCCGCCCUCUCUGUAGCCUUGUUGGGCUGGGUGGGGAGUUCCUGCCCAUUCUCAACAUUGGGUCCAGAGCUCAAAUGACCACCCAUCUUGGGGGCCUCGAAGAGUUGGGCUUUUUUCCCCCUGCCGCGGCUUGGGCCAUUAAGCAAGUGAAAUUCGGCCCAUUUGGUUUGGCGUCGUUUCAAGGGCCUUGACUUUUGUGUCACCUCCCUGAAUUUCAGUUUUCUCUGGUUGACCACGUAGGUCCACUGGGGAAGUUCUUGAGGUGAAAACUGAUCGCGCUCGGCAAAAUGAAAAAAAGAGGUUCAGCAUGUUUGGGGCUGGGUGCGAAACCGUUCCCUCUUGGACAUAUUUCAGACCCAAUAGUAGUCGUUAAGGAAGAGACCUUCACCCAGGCCCUGCCAGGCCCUGGAAGCCCGUGCUGAGCUCUGUGGGAGGAGGGCCACCGACCCCGAAAGUAGUCAACUAGGGGUUGCGGAAAUGGAACUGUUAGGUUUACACCUGGUUGGUGGGACUGGAGGACGUUUCAUGAAGGAGGUAGCAUUCGUACCGGACCUCGUAAAGGUAACGUGAUUCCAACAGGUGGGAGUUGAGAACCUAGACUAUUCUGGUUACAGCCGAGGGGCCAUUUCCCAAGUUUGAAAGAACCCAGGCCUUGCUGUAGAAACUGGUUUCUGCCAUUACUACUGACACCUUUACUGCCGUGUGUUGUCUUUCUUUUUGCAGGGAGAAGAGGGAUGAUGAUUAAAUACAUCAGAUAAGAGCUAAACCUGAUGGUAAAGAUUAGAGAGAUCAAGGGCCUCCUUGGACUCCUCCCCUGGACCCUCUGCAUCCAGCCGGCUGGUUAGCUAAGAGAGAGAAAACCACGAAAGGUAGUGAAUGCUGGAAAUGGUGUCAGUUAUUUCUUCCCACGUCGUGUUGGUCUGACCCAGUUGUCCGGCCCCAACCUGAGUCAAGCAAACUGGGACAUGGCUUCCUAUGUGCUCAGGAGGAAGAAAUGGGAAUGAUGAGCAUCUGGCCAAUCUCUGCUGCAACUGCUAAUUUUGGUGGCCUCCAGGCCAGAGCUACUGACUUGCUGAGGAAGAGAUGUAGGAGGAUUAUACUCUUGUACACAUUGGAUUUUAUAAAUCCAAAUAUUACCUCUUCAAAUAAAUUAAAAAAGAGGAGACUGGUGGAAUUAUGGGUCAUCCAUACCAUGAAAGAAUGAAGUACAUCUGUACAUACUGGAAUGGAACGAUCUUCAGUGAAGAUGGGCAACAUUUAAAAGCCAGAGAAUACCAAGAGCUGGCCGAAAUAAAGAGCCGCCGAAACUCUCAGACCUCGCUAGGUGGAAUGUCACCGGAUGCAACCUCUUUGGAAAGCAGGCAUGUGGACAGAAGAAGCAGACGAGGGAAAGGAAGCAGGGCAGGCAGGCUCCAGGGUUCUCAUUUCCCCGUCUAUCUCCCCAAUCCAUCUAGAUCUUGACCAGGGGAAGCUACAGAAGACAGAUACAGAGAAUACAAAGAACCCAAGAGGAUCAGAGGCUUGUGGACCGCUUCCCCAGUUAAAAUACGCACCCACCGCCCCCAAAGACAGUGUUGGCAAUGGCCAGAACAGCUUGGUGAGAGCAAGUCUGUCUCCUUUCGUCACCGUGGCCGCUUUGCAAAUGGAUCUAUUAACCAAGCACUAGAGAGUAUCCGAGGAAGAGGCCAUCUGAUGUUCGCAGAUUGUGUCAUCUUGUCCUGAUUAUUGAGAGUCUCAUCUACAACAGAUGCCCUUGGGUGGGCAUUUAUAUGGAACAUGAAUAUACUUUGUGGAUCGCAAGAAGUCCGUCUUUCUUUCGACCUCCUUGUCCCCAGCCUUCUAAUCUUGUUCUUUCCAAAUUCCUGGCCAGUGGGCCAGGCUAACCCCCAAGUCAGGUUAGAUCUGUGCAUUCACUAGACGUGCAGUAGAGCUCUGCUCACUGGAGAACGUCCCUUCUCUACAGGCUUUUGGAGCCACUCCAGAGCGGGCUGUGCUGCCACGCUUCUGGCUGCUCCUGUAAGAAGCCUGCACUUUCCUUUCCUCCACUAACUGACCUUUUUUGUUUCCCCUGAGGAUAUAGGUGGAAUGUUGAAGAAGAUACAGUCAAGCAGUGGCAUUGGAUACCAGGGAAAUCAGGCAGUACACUAUGCCUUUGCAUCUACCCAGUAUAUACCAUUUCCACUUUAUAGUGGGAGGCCGUUGUGCCUCUCCAAUUGUAUGGCUCACUGGACUAGAUAAUACACAGUUCAUGAUAGCUACUUCAAGUUGGUUGAAUCUCCUCAGGUCUUUUUUU